rnacentral:rRNA from 1 species
UCUUUAUGAUAAAAAUUUUUGCUAAGAUAAUAAAAGUGUGUAAAAAUUAGUUAAAAUAAGAUCAUUUUGUUGGGGUGAUAGAAAUAUAUAAUUAACUGUUUUAAAAUUUUACAAGUUAGUUGUUUGUAUAAAAGGUCUUUUUUAAAAAUAAAAAGUUCAAGUU